rnacentral:rRNA from 1 species
UACGUAGGGUGCAAGCGUUGUCCGGAAUUAUUGGGCGUAAAGGGCUCGUAGGCGGUCCGUCACGUCGGGAGUGAAAACUUGGGGCUUAACCCCAAGCCUGCUUCCGAUACGGGCGGACUAGAGGUAGGCAGGGGAGAACGGAAUUCCUGGUGUAGCGGUGAAAUGACGCAGAUAUCAGGAGGAACACCGGUGGCGAAGGCGGUUCUCUGGGACGGUACUGACGCUGAGACGCGAAAGCGUGGGGAGCGAACAGG